rnacentral:rRNA from 1 species
UACGAAGGGGGCUAGCGUUGUUCGGAAUUACUGGGCGUAAAGGGCGCGUAGGCGGUCCUGAUCGUCGGAUGUGAAAGGCCUGGGCUCAACCUGGGAACUGCAUCCGAUACGGCGGGACUGGAGUGUGGGAGAGGUUGGUGGAAUUCCCAGUGUAGAGGUGAAAUUCGCAGAUAUCAGGAGGAACACCGGUGGCGAAGGCGGUUCUCUGGGCAUUACCUGACGCUGAGGAGCGAAAGUGUGGGGAGCGAACAGG